rnacentral:lncRNA from 1 species
ACGCUGCUGUAGGGGUACGCGUUUUCCUCGAAGUCCUCCAUCUCCUGAUGGUUGUCAAGUUCAGAGGGGUCGGGGCCUGCCAGCUCCAUCAUGGGGUCUACAAGAGAGGGGCACAGUUAGGCCUAACCACUGGGCAUCCCCAGCAUCCUGCAAGAAGGGGGGCAGGGGAGGGAGAACCUUAAAGUCCAGCCUCUGUUUCCCGGGCCUUUGUAUCCAGGCAGUUAGAAACCCUACUGCUGGGCGUAAAAGGAAGGGCCUUGUCCCUGCUAGGUUACUAAGCCCUCCUGGGUCAUCUGGAAUGCCUACCACUGGUUCCCCCUUUGCUUGGGACUCAUGUGGUACCCACUGCAUGCCAAGUGCUCCCCAGACCUCACAUCAUCCAGUGUUUGCCUGCACACCGAAAGGCUGAUCAACCUCCCAAAGUCAUCCCACAAGUGCUCCUGUGAACUUGCAAAAAAGCUCUACCCCGGAGCACCGGCAGGAGUGGUUUCUCUACAUUACUGCACCAAACCAGCCCUACCCUGGUCCUGGGCUCUCCAAGGACAAACUCAGCCAAGGUAGGUUUGUCAAAGCAUCUCGGGAGACAGGAGGAGGUCUGAGAGGUGCCUUGUAAUGCUGUCAAAUUGGAAUCUUACUAUAAAGUUUGCUGUUGUGAUGCAAGCAGAGUGCCCCCCCCCCCGAAGAGACAUGGACUGGUAUGAACCAGUAGCCUGGGGGGAUGGCUAGCAGGGACAGAGGCUCACCGGCAGAGUGGGUUUUACCCCUGCCCACUGAAGAACUUUGGUGGUUGUGGGAAACAGACCUAGCUCAGGGCUCACUCACCCUGAUAGGUGCAAGGUGGGUGUUUCAACCUUGGCAUCACUGACAUCUGGGGCCACAGUCCUUUGCGGUAAGCCACUGCAGGAUAUCACAGGGUCCUGCACUCUCCCAUCUGAUGCCAGGAGCAUCUUCCCAGUUAUCUAUAUCUAUGCACAUAUCUAUACCCUGGGGGUCAAAUUCACCCUUCACUGCCAACGAGUGUCUUAGGAAUUGGCAUGCAACCUAAUUCUGACCACUGGGUCAGAAGAAAAUGCAUGCUGGCAAGUUAUUGGUUUUAAAGAAGGAGGACAGCUUUUGUCCCUUUCCUGGACAUGCCAGGAAGCGAGGUUCUGGUGGCUACUGUUAUACCUUGAGCACAGAAGAAAAUGCCAGUGAUGUGGGGUCUCAUAGAGGUAGCCUAACUCUGAGAAUAGUCACCUGACUUUAAAGAUGGCCCAGGCUUUCAAUCCCUCUCUCCGCAUUUCUUUCUUUUUUUGGAUGUGCUCCACCAUG